rnacentral:tRNA from 1 species
UCCCUGGAGGGCUAGUGGUUAGGCUACUGCAGUCUCACUGCUGUGGCCUGGCUUCGAUUCUCGGCUAGGGAA